rnacentral:rRNA from 1 species
CCUACGGCGGCUGCAGUGGGGAAUAUUGGACAAUGGGCGAAAGCCUGAUCCAGCCAUGCCGCGUGUGUGAAGAAGGCCUUCGGGUUGUAAAGCACUUUCAGUGGGGAAGAAAGCCUUGGGGCUAAUACCCUCGAGGAAGGACAUCACCCACAGAAGAAGCACCGGCUAACUCCGUGCCAGCAAGCCGCGGUAAUACGGAGGGUGCGAGCGUUAAUCGGAAUUACUGGGCGUAAAGCGCGCGUAGGCGGUCUGAUAAGCCGGUUGUGAAAGCCCCGGGCUCAACCUGGGAACGGCAUCCGGAACGGUCAGGCUAGAGUGCAGGAGAGGAAGGUAGAAUUCCCGGUGUAGCGGUGAAAUGCGUAGAGAUCGGGAGGAAUACCAGUGGCGAAGGCGACCUUCUGGACUGACACUGACGCUGAUGUGCGAAAGCGUGGGUAGCAAACAGGAUUAGAUACCCCGGUAGUC